UAUUGUUGUUGAGGAUGAUGAUGAUGAUGAUGAUGAUGAUGAUGAUGAUGAUCAUGAUCAUCAUCAUCAUCAUCACGACCAACAUCAUCAUGGGGC
rnacentral:pre_miRNA from 1 species